UCUUCUUUAUCAGUUUCUUCUGGCACGUUCUAUUGAAAUAGGAUGAAAGCAAAACAGAAACCGUCGAAAACCCACCAUGGCCCUCAAACUUGGAAAUGCAUUUCCCCCCCUCCCAUGUUUUGCAGAGCAAUAAUCCUUAUCUACUCACUGCAUAAAAAGGGAGGAAGAUUGAAGGAAAAAGAACUGGAGCAAUCAAUAUUGGAACCUCCAGUCUGCUCAUCAAUCUGGUAGUUCAUGUCUUUGUGUGGCUGAUUUUCUCUUUGCCUGUGUUUAUUCCAGAAAAUUGGUAUAAAAUUAUGUAUUUGCAAGAUGUUGCAGUGUAUGAGAGAGUCAAGAAGAGCCUAUGAGUAUGACGAGAUUCUUGGCAGGGAUUGAUGACUCAGUUGAGGAUGAGAGGGAUUUGGAUCAGAUCAUGGCCGACCGCAGAGCCGCCGAAAUCGAGCUCGAUACCCGCGACGGCGUACAAACAACUCGCAAGCUCCCUCAUCUUCUCCAUGACCAAGAUACUGAUGAUGACAGCCACAGGCCUUCAAAGAGGACGAGGGCUGAUUUCAGGCCUCCAAGAAACUACAACGAUAAUGAUGGAAUGCAGAGUUCACCGGGAAGAUCACAACGCAGAAACUUUAGAGAGGAUGUCCCAAUGACUGACCAGACUGAUGAUGAUGGCUAUGAGGAUGAUGAUGACCAAGAAGCCGAGUUUGAGAUGUAUCGUGUUCAGGGAACACUCAGGGAGUGGGUUACUAGAGAUGAAGUGCGAAGAUUUAUAGCCAAGAAGUUCAAAGAAUUUCUGCUCACCUUUGUGAAGAAGGGUUCUUCUGACAUUGAAUAUGUGCGCCUCAUUAAUGAGAUGGUAUUAGCCAAUAAGUGUAGUCUGGAGAUUGAUUACAAGCAAUUCAUCGGUACUCAUCCCAAUAUUGCCAUUUGGUUGGCUGAUGCUCCUCAGCCUGUCCUGGAAGUCAUGGAAGAUGUUGCCAAGAAUGUGGUGUUUAGUUUACACCCCAAUUACAAACGUAUCCAUCAAAAGAUCUACGUUAGGAUAACCAACUUACCUGUUUACGAUCAGAUUCGCAACAUUCGGCAGAUCCAUUUGAAUACCAUGAUUCGUAUUGAAGGCAUUGUGACCUGACGCUCUGGGGUCUUUCCCCAAUUGCAACAAGUAAAGUACGAUUACAAUAAAUGUGGGGCAAUCUUGGGGCCAUUCUUUCAAAACUCUUAUUCAGAAGUUAAAGUUGGUUCUUGCCCUGAAUGCCAAUCAAAUGGACCGUUCAGUGUCAAUAUUGAGCAGUUUUAAUCCGUAUAGGCAGCAGUUCCUUUCAGUUUUUUUACGCUCUCAUCUUCUUCUUCUUCACUUUUCGGGGUCCAGUCAUUAGUUCAAGAACUCGAAGUCCAGAGUUGCUUCAAUGACUCAGGUUCCAUGUUUUCUGUUUAAUAAUCUUCAAUCUGCAAAGUAUCAAUUCUUUAAAUGAUGGAAUCGCCUCUCACCUCUCUCUCUCUGACGCAUAAGGGUUCCAUAAGAAGCAGAGGAAACUAUAUUUAAGGAAUUAAAAGCAAAAUGAGGAUCAGAGUUGGAGGGAGUUCAAGAGUAACAUGAAAGCAGAACAAAACGGAAGCAUCAUGGUGAGUCAACAGAAGCACCGAUCAUGACAUCUUCGAGCAGUGAACCAAAGUCGCUCUUCUUCGUGGACAAGUCCAAAGCUCCUCCUUGUAUUCUUCGAAAUUCCCAGGGAAGACCCUCACGGUACCAUCUUCAACACCCCAAAUUUCACUCUUCUCUUCACCCUCGCACACACGCGAUAUCAGCCUAGAAUCAUGACUCACCAGUAUAACUCCACCGGUGAACUCAUCAAGUGCAUCAGCCUGCAUAUCUAAAUGAUUUGUGGGUUCAUCCAACAGCAAAAUGUGGGGCCUUGACAUGGAUAUUGAUGUGAAGACAACACUGGGUUUCUGCCCUCCUGAUAAUUUUGAUUCAUCAGAGUUGUUUAGGCUUCGGUGGUGGUUGGGUUACAUAGAGGUGGUGGUUGGCUGCGAUUGGGUGGAGACUGUGUGUGGGUUACAGGAGGAAGAAGAUGAUUUCAAUUUCAAUUUUGUUGCCCAAUUUGAUGAGCUUGGUCUGAUUGGCAUCGCAGGAACUGGGGUGGGUGGGGGAGCUCGGAGGAGAAAUGGACGGAGAGAGAGAGAGAGAGGGACGAAGAGAGGGAGGGGUUGGGGUGGGUGCGGCUGUGCAUCGGCAAGAGGGGUGGAGAACAUCGGGGAGGCAUUGGGCUGUUGUAGGGCAGGGAAGGACUGGGGUCUGGGUAGAUUUUUUAAAUGUUUUAU